CCUACGGGGCGCUGCAGUGGGGAAUAUUGGACAAUGGGGGGAACCCUGAUCCAGCCAUGCCGCGUGUGUGAAGAAGGCCCUCGGGUUGUAAAGCACUUUCAGUGAGGAAGAACGCCUGGUGGUUAAUACCCAUCAGGAAAGACAUCACUCACAGAAGAAGCACCGGCUAACUCCGUGCCAGCAGCCGCGGUAAUACGGAGGGUGCGAGCGUUAAUCGGAAUUACUGGGCGUAAAGCGCGCGUAGGUGGCUUGAUAAGCCGGUUGUGAAAGCCCCGGGCUCAACCUGGGAACGGCAUCCGGAACUGUCAAGCUAGAGUGCAGGAGAGGAAGGUAGAAUUCCCGGUGUAGCGGUGAAAUGCGUAGAGAUCGGGAGGAAUACCAGUGGCGAAGGCGGCCUUCUGGACUGACACUGACACUGAGGUGCGAAAGCGUGGGUAGCAAACAGGAUUAGAUACCCUUGUAGUC
rnacentral:rRNA from 1 species